rnacentral:rRNA from 1 species
UACGAAGGGGGCUAGCGUUGCUCGGAAUCACUGGGCGUAAAGGGUGCGUAGGCGGGUCUUUAAGUCAGGGGUGAAAUCCUGGAGCUCAACUCCAGAACUGCCUUUGAUACUGGAGAGCUUGAGUCCGGAAGAGGUGAGUGGAACUGCGAGUGUAGAGGUGAAAUUCGUAGAUAUUCGCAAGAACACCAGUGGCGAAGGCGGCUCACUGGCCCGGUACUGACGCUGAGGUGCGAAAGCGUGGGGAGCAAACAGG